rnacentral:rRNA from 1 species
GAUGAACGCUGGCGGCGUGCCUAACACAUGCAAGUCGAGCGGCAGCGAGGGGUGCUUGCACCCUGUCGGCGAGCGGCGGACGGCUGAGUAACGCGUGGGAACGUGCCCCAAAGUGAGGAAUAACUGCCCGAAAGGGUAGCUAAUACCGCAUAUUAUCUUCGGAUCAAAGGAUUUAUCCGCUUUGGGAGCGGCUCGCGUCGGAUUAGGUAGUUGGUGAGGUAAUGGCUCACCAAGCCGACGAUCCGUAGCUGGUCUGAGAGGAUGACCAGCCAGACUGGAACUGAGACACGGCCCAGACUCCUACGGGAGGCAGCAGUGAGGAAUCUUCCACAAUGGGCGAAAGCCUGAUGGAGCAACGCCGCGUGCAGGACGAAGGCCUUCGGGUUGUAAACUGCUUUUAUAAGUGAGGAAUAUGACGGUAACUUAUGAAUAAGGAUCGGCUAACUACGUG